rnacentral:rRNA from 1 species
CCUACGGGAGGCAGCAGUGAGGAAUAUUGGUCAAUGGCCGGAAGGCUGAACCAGCCAUGCCGCGUGAAGGUCAGUGCCCUAUGGGCGUUAAACUUCUUUUGUGCGGGAGCAAUAAUGGUCACUUGUGGCCAGACGAGAGUACCGUACGAAUAAGCAUCGGCUAACUCCGUGCCAGCCGCCGCGGUAAUACGGGGGAUGCAAGCGUUAUCCGGAUUUAUUGGGUUUAAAGGGUGCGUAGGCUGUGAGGUAAGUCAGCGGUGAAAUGCCCCCGCUUAACGGGGUGAAGUGCCAUUGAUACUGCCUUGCUGGAAUGCGGAUGCGGUGGGAGGAAUGUGUGGUGUAGCGGUGAAAUGCAUAGAUAUCAGACAGAACACCGAUUGCGAAGGCAUCUCACGAAUCCGCGAUUGACGCUGAGGCACGAAAGCGUGGGUAUCAAACAGGAUUAGAUACCCGUGUAGUC